rnacentral:rRNA from 1 species
UGGCGGCAGGCCUAACACAUGCAAGUCGAGCGGUAGCACAAGAGAGCUUGCUCUCUGGGUGACGAGCGGCGGACGGGUGAGUAAUGUCUGGGAAACUGCCUGAUGGAGGGGGAUAACUACUGGAAACGGUAGCUAAUACCGCAUGAUGUCUUCGGACCAAAGUGGGGGACCUUCGGGCCUCACGCCAUCAGAUGUGCCCAGAUGGGAUUAGCUAGUAGGUGGGGUAAUGGCUCACCUAGGCGACGAUCUCUAGCUGGUCUGAGAGGAUGACCAGCCACACUGGAACUGAGACACGGUCCAGACUCCUACGGGAGGCAGCAGUGGGGAAUAUUGCACAAUGGGCGCAAGCCUGAUGCAGCCAUGCCGCGUGUAUGAAGAAGGCCUUCGGGUUGUAAAGUACUUUCAGCGAGGAGGAAGGCAUUGUGGUUAAUAACCGCAGUGAUUGACGUUACUCGCAGAAGAAGCACCGGCUAACUCCGUGCCAGCAGCCGCGGUAAUACGGAGGGUGCAAGCGUUAAUCGGAAUUACUGGGCGUAAAGCGCACGCAGGCGGUUGAUUAAGUCAGAUGUGAAAUCCCCGAGCUUAACUUGGGAACUGCAUUUGAAACUGGUCAGCUAGAGUCUUGUAGAGGGGGGUAGAAUUCCAGGUGUAGCGGUGAAAUGCGUAGAGAUCUGGAGGAAUACCGGUGGCGAAGGCGGCCCCCUGGACAAAGACUGACGCUCAGGUGCGAAAGCGUGGG